rnacentral:lncRNA from 1 species
ACUGACAAUCUUCCUCCUAUUUUCUCCACAUGUUGAAUAGCACUUGUUCCUGAUGAUGGAUGCUCCAAAGAUCCAGGACCCUGAGUGAGAACAAUGUGGAACAGAGUCCCUCACCAAUCCAGGUUGAAAUGAAGUGGAAAUUGGAAGACCUGGAGCCCAUUAGAGGACAAUUCUUUUGCCUCCAAGGGUUGUAACUUUUCCCCAGCAGAUACUGGACUCCAUCGUGCAGACAACCUUCUUUAGUGAGAAAAUGCACAACUGACUUCCAAUCAGCUAACAUUUCUUCCCUGCUUGAGUCAUGACUGAGUUAUUUGAGAGAAAACUUCUUUCUUUUCUAUAGUUAUUUUGCUUAAAAUCAUCAUCAAAGACUAUGUUUUGUUUUUUUUCUACUCUCUUUGAAAGUAUGGACACUUACGUUGAGUGUUUGGUGCUAAGUUAGAUAGCCACAUUCCUAUUUUUUUCAAAUCUUCUUUCCUUAUUUCUUUCUCUUUAUUCCAAACCUUGUCAGAGUUGCUACAAAAUUAAUUGAACUCUCAGUUAAGUAGAGCUAAUAUUAAUCUAGUUCUUACCAUUUUAGGAUAUUCGUUAAAGGAAUUAAGUACAUUUGGGAAGGAGUUUUAUUUAACCUGAAAAUGGCUUGAAAAUUACAUCCUAUUAUUGUUGUGUUAUUGUAUGUUUUUCCAACCAGUAUGGUUUCUGACUUUCAACACAUUUUAUGUGAAAUGUUUUGCAUGGAACUAAUUAUUCUCAACAACAAAUUCCUAAUCCAGUAUCAGCCAUUCACUGGGUACCUAAGCAAGAAGGUUUUAUGCUCUCUAAAACUAAAAUUGCAUCGAAUCUACCUUUUCUCAUUAGGGCAGAGUUUAAAAAAUGAACAUAAAGAUGUGUUCAAAGAAAAGCUCAUUUAAAAUAAAUAUUUUG